rnacentral:lncRNA from 1 species
UGAAAUCUAGUCGGUGAUUUUCACAUACUCUAUUAUUAGACUUAGCCAUUGGGACUUGUGCAACCACUUUUUGUAGCAUUAUGUAAGGAUUUCAUGGUUGAAAUCUAGUUGGUGGAUUUUCACAUACUCUAUUAUUAGACUUUGAUGGAUACUUGGGUAUGUAAUAUUUAAUAGUAGUAGGACUUCGUAUUAUUAGACUUUGAUGGGUAUUUGAGUACUGUAUUAUUUAAUAAUGACAAGGUUUUGUGUUAUUAGACUUUGA